CAGGCAAGGUAUGGGCGAUGUCCGGAAUUACUGGGCGUAAAGAGCUCGUAGGUGGCUUGUCGCGUUGUUCGUGAAAACCUGUGGCUUAACCUUGGGCGUGCGGGCGAUACGGGCAGACUGGAGUACUGCAGGGGAGACUGGAAUUCCUGGUGUAGCGGUGGAAUGCGCAGAUAUCAGGAGGAACACCGGUGGCGAAGGCGGGUCUCUGGGCAGUAACUGACGCUGAGGAGCGAAAGCGUGGGGAGCGAACAGG
rnacentral:rRNA from 1 species